rnacentral:tRNA from 1 species
UGGCUCUCUAGCUGAGAUGGAUUAGCAAAGGACUGAAAAUCCUUGGAGGUUGGUUCGAUACCAACGGGAGCCAUAUU